rnacentral:rRNA from 1 species
UGUCUAUUAAUUGUAGACCAGUAUGAAAGGCAAAAUGAGGGUUUAACUGUCUCUUAUAAUAAAUCAAUUAAACUGAUCUUCCAGUAAAAAAGCUGGCAUAUCCCCAUAAGACCAGAAGACCCUGUGAAGCUUAAACUAAACUAUUAAACCCCUUAAUAACUACUUUCGGUUGGGGCGACCUUGGAAAAAAAAAGAACUUCCAAACACAGUGACUCUAACCCACACAUCCAGGCCUACAAGCCUAUAAACGACCCAGCACAGCUGACAAUUGAACCAAGUUACUCCAGGGAUAACAGCGCCAUCUUCUUUAAAAGUCCAUAUCAAAAAGAAGGUUUACGACCUCGAUGUUGGAUCAGGACAUCCUAAUGGUGCA